GAGUCAAAUGCUUCUAACCAGCAACACGAGUUGUGAAGAGGAGUGAAUUAAAAGUAGCGAAGGUGUGGUAAUCACACUGCCAAGAAAAGCUUCUAGCCAGAGAUGACAUACCCGUACCGCAAACCGACACAGGUAGUCGAGUGGAGAACACUAAGGUGAGCGAGAGAACUCUCGUUAAGGAACUCGGCAAAAUGACCCCGUAACUUCGGAAGAAGGGGUGCUAGCCAAGAGAUUGGUUAGCCGCAGUGAAUAGGCCCAAACAACUGUUUAUCAAAAACACAGGUCUCUGCAAAAUCGUAAGAUGACGUAUAGAGGCUGACACCUGCCCGGUGCUGGAAGGUUAAGGGGAAGGCUUAGCAUA
rnacentral:rRNA from 1 species